AUACUUACCUGGCAGGGGAGAUACCAUGAUCAAGCAGGCUGUUCACCCAGGGAGAGGCUCAGCCAUUGCACUCCGGCUGUGUUGACCCCUGCAAAUUCCCCAAACGUGGGGAGUCUUGACUGUUGGCUCUUUUGCUAGUGGGGUGCCGCGUCCGCCGCUCGAU